CUUGACUGCCGUCCGUCUGAGCCUGAGGACCCUGACUUCCAUCUGGAAAAGGUCCAAAGUCUCCUGAAGAGCCAGUAGAACCUCCAAGUUUUGACAUCAUAUGAGUGUUGACCCCCGACGCCGGUGUAACCCCACCAGGUCCUGGCGUGUCGUGAAGCUCUCGUGCGUGGGCGGCAACGGCCUCUCUUUUGUGGGCACCCUUCGAGCUACGCAGAUCAGGCACGACUGGAAGUCUGGAGAGAGGAGAACAGUAUGGAGGGAAAAAAGUUAAAAUCAGAUGAACAAGGAGCUUAAAGGAAGUGGGGGUGAAGAAAACGAAAUGCAUGUUGUUCCCAGGCAGCUUAAUUAAUACAGUUAUUAAUGAGCGUGGGGAUCAGGGCUGAGCUCUUUUCAAGAGGAGCAGCUAUAGCUGGCAAGGGAAAUGAUGUAGUGUGACCUUUGAAGGUGUGUGAGUGCAUGUAUGGGUGUGUGUGUUGGUGUGCAUAUGAGCAUGCUGGUUUCACCUCAAUUGCCAUCUCACACUGAUGACACCUCCCUUGGCUCAACAUCGCUCAAUCAUGACAGUUGCCUCCAACACACCCAAAAAUGACAUCCAGAACUGGGGUGACCCCAAAAACUCUGCCAUCCAACUUUCCUGCGCUAAUAAUACCCACAAUCCCACACCGAAUAGGGAAAAGCGAGGUGGGGGCCAUAGAAAAUUAGGCUUUUCUUUUUUUUUUUUUUUUUUGUCUUCCACAGACUUUAACUCUAAAUCUGCCCAACAUGAAAGUACACAAGAAGGGGAGAGGAUCUUUUAUGCGGCUGAACUUCAGUUUGUCACACAUACAACCUUUCCUCACCUUUUAUGUAACCCUAAGAAAUAAAAAUAAAAAAAA